AGACAGUGAGCCCUUUGGGGACAAAGAGCCCAAACUUCAGUAUCAGCAUCCAGAACUAUAGCAAACUGUUGCUGUGUCCAUUCUGAAAACUCCAAAUUGUUGCAAUGUGAAAAGAAGACAUAAUCCUUGUGGGAGCAGGUCCAGGAUAACAGCAGCAAACUAACAAGCCACCAUGUGUUCGCAGCUGUUUAUCAUGGGGGAAACUGUAUAUCCUAUCCCAUCAAUUAAGAUAUACAAGAUAUGCCCACCCAUCAGAACUUCAACAUCUGCUGUGAUUCUGUCCUCACUCCCGACCUUGGUCUGCAGAAUGUCCAUCUGAAUCAAGAGGUAUCUCUGUUCAUAGCUGCUUACAAGAUUCUAUUUGAAGGCAGUCAAUCAGAAUCAAAUGAAGCGGGCAACAGCAUCGCAGAAAGAAUAAACAUAUGCAGAAGAAGAAGAUAACAUGGAGUGUAAGCAGAAGACCAAAGCUUUUUAAUAAUGAAGGAUAUGAGGCUGGAAGACAAGCUAGCUGAAUCUGUUUGCUUACCUGUUGGAUUCUUCAUUGUCCUUGCUACAACUGAUUACUCUUCUGGGAUUUAGAAACUGGAUACUGUUCCUUGUGGUGGCCACAGACCCUCCUCAUCCCAUUUGAGACUGUUGCCUGGCCGGAUGGUAGCUGGAAUAUCUGACAUUUGUGGAUCCAGUUUUGGUCCUCUUGUAAACACAGUAUUACAAGCACAAUUUUUGAGUUAGCUGUUUAGAGUCUAGUUGAACUCAAACACUGCUACAGUGAAAUGCUGAACACAUCAAGGUCAGAAUGUUUUCAAAACUGAAUUCCCCUGAUAAUAUUUUCAUUUUCAUCAAAGUGGCUCAAAAGAGGAAUUUUGAAUGCAGAUUUGCCAGUAUGGCUUCUUCCUUACCAGCUGUUCUCUUCCAUUUACCCCAACAGCUGUUGCUUGCUAGAGCAUUCAGGGAUGGGCAGAAGCAAACUGCACAGAAGUUCUAUACAAGCUGCAUGGAAGCAUCUUUCAUGCAAGGCAUGAGAAUGAGAGAGAAGGAAAGUACAUAUCCUGUAGAAUACCCUCUAAGGACCCAUGUCCAUACACACUCUUACAGUGUGGGAUAUAUUUGCCAUAUGCUAAGAGUCAAGGCCUACUCAUACUUCUGUAAGCAACUGCCUAUAGAUAAUUUACCGUGAGGUUGUUCAUGUGAUUGGGCGGGCGGCAUGGUGGGCAGGCUUGUUUUAUUCUCUUCCCCCCCAGAUGAGCGAGUUCUUGUUUUGGAAGCGCAGACUGCGCUCCCAUACAAGCAGUGCUGCGUGGUGCAGUGCGCAGCUCCGGAAGCUGGGACAAUGCGCCCCGGCCUUCGGGAAUGUCACAAUGCACUGCACGACAUGCACAAUGCACUGGGGGAUUCCCCCAAGAAAUGGGCUCUCUAGCCGCCCGUCUCUGUGUGCAGCUGGGCUGGAAACAGCCUGUGCUCACACACGAGCAGGUAGCCCGGGUUAAGGGAGUGCUUG